AUAAGGGUGGGACAACUCCACGUGCACAGGGCUACAACCUGUCGCCUGCUCGGCCACCUUACCUG
rnacentral:tRNA from 1 species